GACUGGUCCCAGCACAGUGGUGUUUACAACUAACUGAUCAUCACAGUCACACGUUUCUUAGUUCCUUCUCCAUGCCCUCUGCUUCACUUGACUAGCCUUGA
ensembl:misc_RNA Y_RNA Y RNA